ACAGGAGGUUAACAAUAAAACAUGAAGCCUUAUGUAACUAUGUACAAGAAAAGGUCGGUUGUAUUAGCAACCAUGUCUGAAAAACACAAGUGAAGGCCUCAACCAGGGAGGGAAGUCCUGUGUCCCCCAAGCGACUGGAGAGAAAGAGAUUUAACGCGAGCCUUACCUACAAAUGAAGCACAACAAAGAAGAUCGCAUUGAAGAAGAUGGCGUCGGUGAACUCCGUAGACUGGACCUGUGCAGAAGGGAUGGCCAACAGGAAUAUGAAGUGAUAAAUAGCCUUCAAUCAAGACUCUUCUGUGGAUCCCUUCAAUAACUCAUCCAUUGAAAGGGUUUGAACCUGUAGAAAACUCCAGAAUUAAUUACACUAGUGUUCAUGACUCUCAUGUAGUGUAAGGAUUUCCUGAGGAACCUGUCCUAGUGGGUCCUGUGGACCUCCUGGUAAAGCGGGUUCUAGGGGGUCAUGGUGAACUGAUUGGCAAGACCCAUUGACAUCAUGACAGUGGUUCAAUUGCUUACACCAUCACACCUGCACUGUUGUAUUGUGACAUCAAUGCAUCCAGAUAUGCCACAAAACUUUAUAUCAAACACUUCCAGGAAUGCAGCUUCUGUAGGUCUAGCUCUGCUAAAUUCUGGAUUGAACUAUAAGUCUCUUUUUGACUGACCCAGUGUCUGUUUCUGGUAUUUGUUUUUGCUGUUGCUGCCUUGUCACCAAAUUCCUAUUAGUUAAUAUACACAUAUAAAUCUAUAUUUUCUAACUUUUGGCAGGAAACAAAUGUCUUCUGAAUCUCUUUCUCUUUGGGAAUUCCAGCUGUGAAUCCUGUGAGUUGCUAGUGGAAGUCAGAGUCGAUGUCGACUGUGAAAAUGAAAACAUAUUUUAUUAUUUUGUUUUACCAAAACCGACUGUUAUAGAUCAUGGGGCAAUGCAAUAAAAGUUGGUGAGUAGAAAGCUCCAGUUAGUGUCAGGAAGUGCCGUUAAUUAAUGUAUAUUGGCUAGUUGCUUAGAACGACAUUUUCAUUUAAACAAAGAGUAUUUUCUGGGAUUAUAAUAAUGC